rnacentral:lncRNA from 1 species
AUAAGAAAGCUCAGAAAGAAAUACAUAUUUGUUUAUUUUGUUGGCACAAAACUACUUCCAUAAAUCAGUUUAUUUUUUUAUUUUUACAACUGGCACCGGGUUACCUUCAGAUGAGUCCCGUGACAUUUGUGGGGGUCGUAGAGAGAAACGGAGACCACCAUCUUGUUCGUGAGAGUCUCCCCUUUCCAUAGUGGGGUCACAAAGGAUUCGGAAACUACAGACGAUUUUCGGGAUGUCUCCUGAGCUGACGAACAGCGUUGUAGCUCUGCCACUUUCACCACAAGACGUGGAAGGGAGACGUCGGCGGAUGUGGUGGAUUGAGACGCAGCCCAAAAAUAUGUCUCUAGAUUAAACAGAAGAUUUUGAUAGGGACUUUUCAAAAAAUUAUGUUAAUUAGAUUGCCACACGGGUACGUCUCUAAAGGACUAGUCGGAUUAGCCUCCUACAAUGUGGAAGAAAGACGUAUUGUCAGCUUGUUUGUUUACUCUCCUUGUUUGUUUUACUGUGUUUGUUUAUCUGUAAACGUGUUUGUUUACCUCCCAGCAAGCCAAUGAAAACCAAGCCAGGAGAGAUAGGAGCUGCUUUGAGAGCCUGACCUUAUGGGACCUGAAGAGCCACAACCACAAUCCUUCUCUGUGGGUAGUUAAAGACAGAGAAGAAGAUGUGGAAUACCAGGAGAGAAGCGAGAGUGAGGAAGGAGAUGAAGAGGAAGAGUAUGUAUGUGUGAUAAUAGAAGGGUCAGAGGUUGAGGAAGAUGAGGAGGAAGAGGAAGAGGAGGAGGAAUACGAGGUGACAUGUGUAGGGGAGUAUGAGGAGGAAGAGGAGUGUUUGUUAGAGGUUGUGGUGAAAGAGGAGGAAGAGGAGUGUUUGUUAGAGGUUGUGGUGAAAGAGGAGGGAGUAGAGGAGGACGAAGAAGAAAGAGUGGAGAGGUAUGAGAAGGAGAAGAAAGAGAAGGAAGAGGAAGAAGAGAAGGGAGAAGAAGAAGAAGAAGAGGAGGAGGAGACAGCCAACACAUAUCCCAGGUGUGUCCAUCAUCAGGGCCUGAAACUGAGUGUGAAGGGGCUGAGAGGGAGACAGACAGGAGAGGAGAAGUACGGUCGGCUCAGAGAGAUCCUAGGAGACCAGUAUGUCAGGGAGGUUACCUGUGCCCCUGAAGGAGAUAGAGUGGUCCUCCACCUCUAUCACCCUAGGUGA